CACCCUUAUCUCCCUUCACUGACUCUCUUUUCGGACUCAGCCGGCCUGCACCCAGGUGAAAUAAACAGCCAUGUUGUUCACACAAAGCCUGUUUGGUGGUCUCUUCACACGGGCGUGCAUGAAAUUUGGUGCCAUGACUUGGCUCAGGGGACCUCCCUUGGGAGAUCAAUCCCCUGUCCUCCUGUUCUUUGCUCCAUGAGAAAGAUCCACCUACAACCUCAGGUCCUCAGACCGACCAGCCAAAGAAACAUCUCUCACCAAUUUCAAAUCUGAUCUUCUCAGUUUAGCGGCUGAAGACUGACACUGCCCAAUCGCCUCGGAAGCCCCCUAGACCAUCACGGAUGCCGAGCUUCGGGUAACUCUCACAGUGGAAGGUAUACGCCCAGAUGGCCUGAAGUAACUGAAGAAUCACAAAAGAAGUGAAAAGGCCCUGCCCCACCUUAACUGAUGACAUUCCACCACAAGAGAAGUGUAAAUGGCCAGUUCUUGCCUUAAGUGAUGACAUUACCUUGUGAAAGUCCUUUUCCUGGCUCAUCCUGGCUCAAAAAGCACCCCCACUGAGCACUUUGUGACCUCCACUCCUGCCCGCCAGAGAACAAACGUCCUUUGACUGUAAUUUUCCUUUACCUACCCAAAUCCUAUAAAGUGGCCCCACCCUUAUCUCUCUUCACUGAAUCUCUUUUUGGACUCAGCCGGCCUGCACCCAGGUGAA